CACCUCUCAGGGUCACACCUGGAGAGUUGCCAGUACUCUAUCAGUCUCGACUACAAGAGGGAGUGUCAAGCAGAGGCCUACCCAUUCCAUUCCUAGCCUCGGCAGUGGUUAGCGAGUGGAAGGCAAUCAGCUACAAGU
rnacentral:snoRNA from 1 species